CGAGGUCAUCCGAGCAGUAACAACGAACCGUGAGAAGUCAGCAGAGGUCAUAGUAGCCGGGCAAGGAAAAAAAACAUCGACAACCUGGUGAAGGAC
rnacentral:ncRNA from 1 species